UCCCAGAUGAGCAUGCUUGGCAGUUUCUC
rnacentral:piRNA from 1 species